UAGGGAAUCUUCCGCAAUGGACGAAAGUCUGACGGAGCAACGCCGCGUGAGUGAAGAAGGAUUUCGGUUCGUAAAACUCUGUUGUUAGGGAAGAAAAAAUGUAUAGUAACUAUAUACAAAAGAGACGGUACCUAACCAGAAAGCCACGGCUAACUACGUGCCAGCAGCCGCGGUAAUACGUAGGUGGCAAGCGUUGUCCGGAAUCAUUGGGCGUAAAGGGUACGUAGGCGGCCCAGUAAGUUAGAAGUGAAAUAAUAUAGCUCAACUAUAUAAAGCUUUUAAAACUGCUAGGCUUGAGAGAUGGAAGGGAAAGUGGAAUUCCUAGUGUAGCGGUGAAAUGCGCAGAUAUUAGGAAGAAUACCGGUGGCGAAGGCGACUUUCUGGUCAUCAUCUGACGCUGAGGUACGAAAGCGUGGGUAGCAAACAGG
rnacentral:rRNA from 1 species